rnacentral:rRNA from 1 species
AGCUCGUGUCGUGAGAUGUUGGGUUAAGGUACCCGCCAACGAAGCGCAACCCUUACGUCCUUACGUUGUCCAGCAUUCAAGUUGGGCACUCUAAGGAGACUGCCGGUGUUAAACCGGAGGAAGGUGGGGAUGACGUCAAGUCCUCAUGGCCCUUAUGUCCAGGGCUACACACGUGCUACAAUGGCCGGUACAAAGGGCUGCAAUACCGCAAGGUGGAGCGAACCCCAAAAAGCCGGUCUCAGUUCGGAUUGGAGUCUGCAACUCGACUCCAUGAAGUUGGAAUCGCUAGUAAUCGCGGAUCAGCAUGCCGCGGUGAAUACGUUCCCGGGCCUU